rnacentral:lncRNA from 1 species
CGAAAGAUUAUUUGGCUUUACGAAAGGAAUGGAACUUUAUCUUAGAAAAGGAAGACAUCAAGAAGCGCCAGCAAGCCAAGUUAUUUUCGCUUCAGGGAGUUGAUGUUAAUUCUAAGUACUUUCUUGCGUAUGUGAAGGGAAUAUGGCCUUUGUUUAUGCUAGUCCUAUUGUCCACCUUCAUCAUCUUCUCUAAUCUGAAUUGGUGAAUCUUGGAAUAUGGCCUUUGUUUAUGCUAGUCCAAUUGUCCACCUUCAUCAUCUUCUCUAAUCUGAAUUGGUGAAUCUUGGAAUAGGGCCUUUGUUUAUGCUAGUCCAAUUGUCCACCUUCAUCAUCUUCUCUAAUCUGAG